rnacentral:lncRNA from 1 species
GUGAAUCCCUGGUGAAGCAGGACAGCAAGCAGGUGCAGGUGGACCUCCAGGAUCUGGGCUAUGAGACAUGUGGCCGAAGCGAGAAUGAGGCCGAGCGGGAGGAGAGCACCAGUCCUGGUAGGAGCAUGAGGGCGGGGCUUACCUGUCCACCCACAUCUGGGAGAUGUUGGCCUGUCCCGCCCCUGAUGGGCUGAGGUUGGGGGUGGUGUUGAGGACUGAAGGGGACACAGGACCAGAGAGGGACAGGAGAGUCUGGCAGAGAACUCUUGCCCCAAACGAGGCUGAGCAUGAGUUUGAAUUUCUAUAAUUAGUUUUCAACAUACUGCCGUUAAUUAAAAGGAAAAAAAAAGUUCCAUCCAACAGAUUAUUAGAAAAAGCUUACUUUUUAAUGAAAAGACAAGAUGAGCUGUUGGGGACGUGCUAACCCUAAGUUUAAAAAAUUGUCCACAAUAAAAGUGCUUUGACUGUAGGCACACCCACCAAACAGAAAUCGUGAAGAGAAGAAAAAUGCUCAGUACAACAGAAGGUGACCAGACCCGACCUGCAGGGCCGUUGGGUGGGUAAGAAAUACGGUGUUUGAAUGCUAGGAGAGUGCAGGGCCGAAUAAAGUUCUGCUUCAACUUUUGCUCUAGUAAUGAUUAGCCCAGCCACAGAGCGGUUUUCAGCUACCGCAGGAUGUGCAGCUCUUCUCAGGAAGAUGUCUUUGUCUUUUCUCAGAGUGCGAGGAGCACCUGAUGGGCUCACCGCUGGCCAGCCCCCCUGGGAAAAAGCCCUUGGAGAGCCAUCGAGGGAAGCAGGAGUUCCAGGCGUGUGGAAAGUCAGAAGACAUCUCUGUCCUCCAUAAGGACAUCAGAGACCUGAAGACCCAGCUGCAGAACGCCAACAAGAUCAUUCAGAACCUCAAGAGCCGGGUGCGGUCCCUCUCAGUGACAAGCGAUUAUUCAUCUAGUCUGGAGAGACCUCGAAAGCUGAAGGCCGUUGGCGCCCUCGAGGGAUCCUCCCCUCAUAGUGUCACUGACGAGGAUGAGGGGUGGCUGUCCGAUGGCACUGGGGCUUUCUACCCCCCAGGGCUUCAGGCUAAAAAGGAUCUGGAGAGUCUGAUCCAGAGAGUGUCCCAGCUAGAGGCCCAGCUCCCGAAAACUGGAACGGAAGGGAAGCUGGCCGAGGAGCUGAGGUCAGCCUCGUGGCCUGGGUAAGGAGGGCACUCUUUGGACCCUUGUUUAACUGAUGCUGGCUAAGUUUGUGUUUGAGGCUGGGUAGCCCGGGCGGGUGGAAGAGAGAACCAGUCGGGGCAAUCAGCAGAGCACCUGUUAACAGGCUAGGCCUAGAUCUGAAGGAAGGACAGGUGGGCCCUGCUGGGAGACAGCAGCUCUCCGGCAUUUCAUCUCAGGAACCUGUUAGUAAAGUGACAGGAUAUGUGGUGUAGUAGUAAGACCGGCGUCAGACUCCCUGGGUUCGAAUCCUAGCUCUGGCACUUUCUAGCCAUACCACUUACUUGGACUUUCUGGGGCUACUUCUUUUUCUUUUCUUAAAAAAAAAAUUUUUUUUUAGUGGUUAUUUAUUAUUGAGAGACAGAGAGACAGAGCACAGGCAUGGGAGGGGCUGAGAGACAGGGAGACACAGAAUCUGAAGCAGGCUUCAGGCUCUGAGCUGUCAGCACAAAGUCUGGGCUUAUUUCUUUACCUAUUAAAUGAGGAUAGUAAGAGAACCUAUCUCAAAGCCUGGUUGUUAGGUUUAAAAGAAUUAGUACAGGGGUGCCUGGGUGGCUCAGUCAGUUGGGCCUCCGACUCUUGGUUUCGGCUCAGGGCAUGAUUUCACAGUUCGUGAGUUCAAGCUCCAUGUUGAGCUCUGCACUGGCGGCUCAGAGCCUGCUUGAGAGAGAUUCUGUCUCUCCCUCUGUCUACCCCUUCCCCACUUGUACACACACACACACACACACACACACUCUCUCUCUCUCAAAAAUAAGUCAGUAAACAUUUGAAAAACAGAAUUAGUAGAAGCACUUAUAAUUACAUAACACAUACUAAGUCCUCAAUACUAUUUACCAGAACUAUUAUUGGUAUUGGUACUUUGUGUUGAAAACACUGGGUAAACUUCCAUCUCGGUAUCUGUCCUUGCUAUCUGCACUGAGUGUCAAACCACUUAAAAAGCUUAGUGGCCUCAAACAAUAGUUUAUGUGGAUUGGGCUCAGCAGGGUGGUUUUCACUGGGGGCAUCUCUCAUGCAGUUGCCAUCAGAUGGUGGCUGGGGCUGGAGUCAUCUGAAAGUCCUGAGUGGGCUGGGCGUGGCUUCUUCAAUCACACAUCUAGUGAUGCGGUGCUCCUUGGCUUCUCUCUUUCUCCAUGUGGCUUCUUGUCUUCUGGGGUGUUUCUUCCUGGUGGUGGCCUCUCAUAGUAUGGUGGUCUCGGGGUAGUUGCCCUUCUGCAUGGCAGCUGGCUUCCAACAGACCGGAAAUGGUCGUUGCCAGGACAGUUAAGAGCUAGGCUUGGCACCGUAUCACUUCCACUAUAGUAUCUUGGUCAUAGUGGUCACAGAGCUUGCCCACAUUUAAGGAGGUGGAGAAUAGCCUCUACCUGCUAAUGAAAGAAGAGGCAAAGGCAUGUUGCCAGACACUGUGUGGAACCGGAACUUGUGUAAUGGCCAUCUGUAGAUGGUCUUUGAAACAGAAGGCAUGAAAGAUUCCACCCAGACUCAGGACUAAGUCAUUCUAAUCACUGAAUUUAUUUUUUAGUAUUUAUUGGGUAUCUAUUUAGUGUUUAUUGAGUACCAACUGUGAGUCUACACUCUACUAGUCCUGGAAGCAGUAUAAACUUUGGCACUGUCUUGACCUUAGAACUUAGGAUCUGUUUGGACAUACGACUAAUAUGUAUAAAACAGUGUCAGAACAAUGGCAUACUAAGUUGUUGUCGUCAUUUGUCAGAGCAGGAUUUACUCUUAAAUACCAUCUUUGAGGGGCGCCUGGGUGGCUCAGUCUGUUAGGCAUCCGACUUCGGCUCAGGUCAUGAUCUCACAGUUCGUGAGUUCGAGCCCUGCGUUGGGCUCUAGUGCUGACAGCUCAGAGCCUGGAGCCUGCUUCACAUUCUGUGUCUCCCUCUCUCUCUCUCUGCCCCUUUCCUGCUCAUGCUGUGUCUCUCUCUGUCUCAAAAAUGAAAUAAACAUUAAAAAAAUUUUUUAAAAAAUACCAUCUUUGGUUUAUGUGCCAGAAUUCAGCUUGUGGGAGCUCCUUAGAGAUAUUCUCACAGAAAUCUCUACAGAGGCCCCAGGAUUUAAUAUUCACUCUUUUUCAUUCUUUUUCCUCUUCUCUCCUGCAUUAGGAAAUAUGAUUCCCUGAUUCAGGAUCAGGCCCGAGAACUAUCCUACCUACGCCAGAAGAUAAGAGAAGGGAGAGGUAUCUGUUAUCUUCUCACCCAGCAUGCAAAAGAUACGGUAAAAUCUUUUGAGGACCUUCUUAGGAGCAAUGACAUUGACUACUACCUGGGGCAGAGCUUCAGGGAGCAACUUGCCCAAGGAAGCCAGCUGACAGAGAGGCUUACCAGCAAACUCAGCACCA